rnacentral:rRNA from 1 species
UUACUAGUUUAGCGGCAAAUGGGUGAGUAACACGUACCUAAUCUACCUUAAAGAUCGGAACAACAAUGGGAAACCGUUGCUAAUACCGGAUAUACCUUUGAAAAGCAUUUUUUAAAGGCGAAAGGAGCAACUGCUUCACUUUGAGAUGAGGGUGCGUUACAUUAGUUAGUUGGCAGGGUAAUGGCCUACCAAGACGAUGAUGUAUAGCCGAGUUGAGAGACUGAUCGGCCACACUGGGACUGAGAUACGGCCCAGACUCCUACGGGAGGCAGCAGUAGGGAAUAUUCCACAAUGGGCGCAAGCCUGAUGGAGCGACACAGCGUGCAGGAUGAAGGUCUUCGGAUCGUAAACUGCUGUUAUACAGAAAGAAAAGAUAUAGGAGUGGAAAGCCUAUAUUAUGACGGUACUGUAUCAGAAAGUGACGGCAAACUAUGUGCCAGCAGCCGCGGUAAUACAUAGGUCACAAGCGUUAUCCGAAAUUAUUGGGCGUAAAGCGUCCGUAGGUUGUUUGUUAAGUCUGGAGUUAAAGACCGGUGCUCAACGCCGGCACGCUUUAGAUACUGGCAAACUAGAGUUAUAAAGAGGUAAGUGGAAUUUCAUGUGAAGCGGUGGAAUGCGUAGAUAUAUGAAAGAACACCAAUGGCGAAGGCAGCUUACUGGUUAUAUACUGACACUGAGGGACGAAAGCGUGGGGAGCAAACAGGAUUAGAUACCCUGGUAGUCCACGCCGUAAACGAUGAUCAUUAGUUGGUGGGGGAACCCUCGCUAACGCAGCUAACGCAUUAAAUGAUCCGCCUGAGUAGUAUGCUCGCAAGAGUGAAACUUAAAGGAAUUGACGGGGACCCGCACAAGCGGUGGAGCAUGUGGUUUAAUUUGACGAUACGCGUAGAACCUUACCCACUCUUGACAUCCCUUGCAAAGCUAUAGAGAUAUAGUG